ensembl:lncRNA
AUGCCUGACAGGUUCACUCUGCUCAUUCUCAGCUUUUCUUUCAUACUUCACAAUGUUUGUAGUUGGAGCGUGAGUGAACCUCUCAACCACACAUUGAAUGAUGAUGGCUCAGCCAGUGUCACAUGCAUGUUCUAUGGAGAAGAAAGGUUUGAGUUGGAAGCUAAGUUGAAAAUGAAUGAUAUGGUUGUUUGUGAGGUUGAUGAAGGAGGACAAGAAAAUAACCAGUGUGAAUGGAAGUUUAAGGACAAUAAAUUCACGUUCACCUUAAAGAAACCUGAGAACCUCCACAGUAAUACAUUUUCCUGUGAGAUAUCCAAAAUAAAACCAUAUCCAGUCAAAACUGAACAAGGACCGAAAAUUAAGCUUUUCCGAGGUUGCAAUAACCCUUUUGCUCCAACGGAGACCAGCUGUCCAAUCACUAACCAAACAAUUGACCAGAAUCACACACCUGUAGAAAGGCCCGAACUUGAAGACAGAUAUACCCUACUAAUCUGUGGUCUGGUCAUAGUGGUGGGAAUGCUGUCUCUCUACAGCAUUAUUCUUACUGCAGUCUACAUCAGAUUGAGGGUCACAAAUCUCGAAUCUUCUGACACUCUGAUCUACAUGCCAAUGCAGAAGAAUGUAAAACGGCGUGAUCUAGAAAACACUGAAUAUGUGGACAUGCGUGAAGUGCAGAAACGGGAAGGAUCCCGCAGAGAUAUGAACCACAACUCUCAUCUUGCUACUGUCAGAGCCAAUUUCUAA